GGCGCUAUGGUGUAGUGGUAGCACAUGGGAUUCUGAAAGUAUCAUUGGUAAUUCCCAUAACCCAGGUUCGAACCCUGGUAGUGCCU